GGAGGGUGUAGCUCAGUGGUAGAGUGCAUGCUUAGCAUGCAUGAGGUCCUGGGUUCAAUCCCCAGUAACUCCA
rnacentral:tRNA from 1 species